UCAAAAUAAAAAGGAGCCUAUCUAGCCUAGCUGCCUGGCUAGGCUUACAAUGAAAUCCAAUGUCUGAACAUGCUAGCGAUUAGCCUGUCGGUUAGCUGAAAAGUUUGAGUGUUUAAACUAACAUCUCCAGUGGUCUAUUUAGAGGUGUAUGGGCCCUGACUAAGUUCCUGUGUCGUAUAAAUCACAAUUCAUGUUGA